rnacentral:rRNA from 1 species
AGUGAACGCUGGCGGUAGGCCUAACACAUGCAAGUCGAACGGCAGCACAGUAAGAGCUUGCUCUUACGGGUGGCGAGUGGCGGACGGGUGAGGAAUACAUCGGAAUCUACUUUUUCGUGGGGGAUAACGUAGGGAAACUUACGCUAAUACCGCAUACGACCUACGGGUGAAAGCAGGGGAUCUUCGGACCUUGCGCGAUUGAAUGAGCCGAUGUCGGAUUAGCUAGUUGGCGGGGUAAAGGCCCACCAAGGCGACGAUCCGUAGCUGAUCUGAGAGGAUGAUCAGCCACACUGGAACUGAGACACGGUCCAGACUCCUACGGGAGGCAGCAGUGGGGAAUCUUGGACAAUGGGCGCAAGCCUGAUCCAGCCAUACCGCGUGGGUGAAGAAGGCCUUCGGGUUGUAAAGCCCUUUUGUUGGGAAAGAAAAGCAGCAGGUUAAUACCCCGCUGUUCUGACGGUACCCAAAGAAUAAGCACCGGCUAACUUCGUG